UACGUAGGCAGCAAGCGUUGUUCGGAGUUACUGGGCGUAAAGGGUGCGUAGGCGGUUGUUUAAGUUUGGUGUGAAAUCUCCCGGCUCAACCGGGAGGGUGCGCCGAAUACUGAACGGCUAGAGUGCGGGAGAGGGGGGCGGAAUUCCUGGUGUAGCGGUGAAAUGCGUAGAGAUCAGGAGGAACACCCGUGGCGAAGGCGGCCCCCUGGGUCGGCCCUGACGCUGAGGCGCGAAAGCGUGGGGAGCGAACGGG
rnacentral:rRNA from 1 species